rnacentral:rRNA from 1 species
GACAGAGGGUGCAAGCGUUGUUCGGAAUUACUGGGCGUAAAGGGCGCGUAGGCGGUCCGCUAAGUUCGGCGUGAAAUCCCCUGGCUCAACUGGGGAACGGCGCUGGAUACUGGUGGACUCGAGUACCGGAGAGGAGAGUGGAAUUCCUGGUGUAGCGGUGAAAUGCGUAGAUAUCAGGAGGAACACCGGUGGCGAAGGCGGCUCUCUGGACGGAUACUGACGCUGAGGCACGAAAGCGUGGGGAUCAAACAGG